CAUAACAUUCUAACUUAAACAAUCUGCUUAUGUUUUAAUGCAUUCUAACUUAAACAAUAUGCUUAAGUUUUAUUGCUAGUUUAUUCCAAUUUGCCUUUCUCUGUUAACUUCCUGGACAACUGCAAACGACGCGCAAGAUAUUGUCAGCACUGUACAUAAGCGCCAUUUACAUGCGCCGCUAAACAGUGUCAACUGACGCAUGUCACCAGUCAACUGUUCAAUUUUCAAUAUAAAUUAGGAGCAAUUAAGGUCAGACUUCUCUUGUGGUGCAUCUCUUAAUCGAUGUUUUGUGGAGAUAUAAGAAGAGAACAAUGUGUGACAUGGGCACCGCCAGCCUCGGCGAACCCUGAGACACUUUGGAACGAGAUGUGCUUGACGGCAUCUCACGUACAUAACUUCUGGUCGGAGACCUGCGAAUGAUUAUCGUAACACUGAUGUAAAGAUCCUAAUCAUCUAACGGUAAUUAUUCGAAACGGGUACACUGGAAUAAAUAAAUCGAGCUUAUACCACGCCUGUAUUGUGUUACAGAAUUGGAUUCUGUCGAAUUUUGCUGAUUAGAAGUGUAGCCUAUGGAAGGACACCAGAAGAAAGGAAAUAGAGAGUACAGUGUAGUAAAGUGAUGUGAUAAAUUGCGGGCACAUUUAACAUGGCAAACACAAUGAAACCAGCCACAGGCUAUUCCACAUCACUGGCAAGAUCAACAAACUUCGCAAUCAUGUGCAGGAUCUGGAACUUGCUCUUCCAUUGAAUUUGAACAUGAACCCUAUGCACACUGCCUUGAAGAUGGUACUAAUGCUGCAACACUCAUCACCACAGUGCAGAGAACAUUUCUGCAGAGGCAGAAGAUAAUCUGUUGAUGGAAGGUACUGAAACUCUAUAAAAUGGCAACUCCUCAAGAGAAGGCACAAUGUGUGACCUGGUUUAUUGAGACAAAAUCAGAUUGGAUGUUCAGACUCGACGAAACUUCAGAACGAAGUAUGGAAGAGAUCCACCAUCGCACUCUUCAAUUCGUGCGUGGCACAAAAAAUUUAUGGAGACAGAGACAGUGUUGGACAAAGGGAGGAGAGGGCGAUCAAGAAUAUCCAAGGAAAACAGCAAUCAUGUUUUAAAUGUCUUCACUCAUUCACCUACAAAGUCCAUCCGCACUGCUGCCAGACUGUUGCACCUACCACGUUCAACUGUGCAUAAGGUCCUCCACAAUAACUUACGGUUGUAUGCUUACAAAGUGCAACUGCUACAGACAAUCGAGUCAAAUGACAAGCCCAAAAUGGACAGAGUUUGCAUUCAACAUGCUUGAACGCCUUUCAGUGAUAAGGCAACUUUUCAUGAUUCUGGAACAUUAAACAUACACAAUGUGAGAAUCUGGGGAUCUGAAUACCCCUAUGUGACUAGGGGCUUCACUGAGAUAGUGCAAAAGUGAAUGUGUGGUGUGGAAUCAUGUGCAACUGAAUAAUUGGUCCAUUUUUCUUCAACGAGUCAACAAUUACUGCAGAUGGUUACCUCAACUUUCUGACCGAAUAUGUAACACCACAAGUGAUUGACUGACAACCAUCUAUCAUUUUCCAGCAAGAUGGUGCACUACCACAUUGGGAACUGCAUGUUCAUCGGUUCCUCAAUGAAACGUUUCCAGGCAGAUGGAUUGGAAGGGAUGGGCCAAUUCCUUGGCCACCGUUUUUGCCAGAUGUCACUCCCUUGGACUUUUAUUAUGGGGGUAUGUAAAAGAUAUCAUUUAUCACACACAGAUAUGGGACAUUGCUGACUUGAAGCAAAGGAUUCGUAAUGCCAUUGCCACCAUUGAUGACGCUAUGCUACAGUGAACAUGGCAAGAAAUCGAGUACCAUCUUGAUGUGCUUCAUGCAACUAAAGACGCCCAUAUAGAGGUCUACUAAACACUGUCAAAAAAACUUUUAUAAACACUGAUUACAAUAAAGGACAUAUUGUUAAAAUACUUCAAAACUGCCAUUGUAAUAAAAUUUUGAAGUUGUAAAGGGACUUUAUGGACACCCUGUAUAUUUCCCUGUCAAAAGUCAGAUAAUUACUGGACAACUUUGUAUUUCAACAAGUAAUAACCAUUCUAUUUAUAAUCUUGUCAUUUAAUAACAGAAGGCCUCUAUUUAUGUAGUUUCAUUAAAUCUUUGUGAACAUCAGUAAAUACUGCAAGAUCUUUGUUUCUUCAUAAGUACAAAGGGUGAUUCUGUCUUCAGGGAAGAGUUCACUGUCACUAUUUGUCUGGCACUUUAGGUUGGUUGAGACUUAAGUUUAAUGGUACAGGUGGUAGUAGUAGUACUUCCAUUAGCAGAAUGGUGACCACUGAUACUUAACUCUCCGUAGCUGAAAUUUGCUUGAUGAUAUGGUGAC